AUGAAAGCGCUAUUCUGGAACAUUAGAGGUUUUGGGGCUAGGAAGCGCCGAGAUCAGAUUAGGGAUGUGGUUACAGGAGAGAAUAUUGAUAUUUUAGGGCUAGUUGAAACCUUCAAGGAAUCUUUCUCUCCUAACAAACUUUCUACAGUUGCGGGAAUGGAUAAGUUUGAUUGGAAUUGCAUGCCUGCCUUGGGCCACUCUGGUGGCAUCUUAAUUGGCACUAAACAUGACCUUUUUGAUUUUGUUACCUUUGAUGACGACAUCUUUUGGGCUAGCAUAGUCGUUCACCAUCGGAGACUAAAUAUCCUAUGGGAAAUUAUGGUGGUCUACGGCCCUGCGGAUCACCCCUUGACCCCAAUCGUUCUUGACGAAAUCUCUAGUAAAAUUGAAUCUUGCACUCCGCCUAUUGUGGUGGGAGAGGACUUCAACCUUAUUCGCACUCUCUUGGACACGAAUAGCUGCAACUUCUCCUGA
rnacentral:rRNA from 1 species